rnacentral:rRNA from 1 species
CAGUAGCCGCGGGAAUACGUAGGGUGCGAGCGUUAAUCGGAAUUACUGGGCGUAAAGCGUGCGCAGGCGGUUCGUUAAGACAGAUGUGAAAUCCCCGGGCUUAACCUGGGAACUGCAUUUGUGACUGACGGGCUAGAGUAUGGCAGAGGGGGGUAGAAUUCCACGUGUAGCAGUGAAAUGCGUAGAGAUGUGGAGGAAUACCGAUGGCGAAGGCAGCCCCCUGGGCCAAUACUGACGCUCAUGCACGAAAGCGUGGGGAGCAAACAGGAUUAGAACCCCCGUAGUCCCUGUCUCUUAUACA